rnacentral:tRNA from 1 species
GGAGACGUGCCCGAGUGGACGAAGGGACCCGCCUUGAAAGCGGCCGAGGGGAAACCCUCCGUGGGUUCGAAUCCCACCGUCUCCG